UACAGAGGUCUCAAGCGUUGUUCGGAUUCAUUGGGCGUAAAGGGUGCGUAGGCGGAUCGCUAAGUCAGGGGUGAAAUCCUGGAGCUCAACUCCAGAACUGCCUUUGAUACUGGCGAUCUCGAGUCCGGGAGAGGUGAGUGGAACUGCGAGUGUAGAGGUGAAAUUCGUAGAUAUUCGCAAGAACACCAGUGGCGAAGGCGGCUCACUGGCCCGGUACUGACGCUGAGGUGCGAAAGCGUGGGGAGCAAACAGG
rnacentral:rRNA from 1 species